UUUAAAAGUAAAUAUAAAACUAAAUUAGUAUUAGCUAUAAACUUUAAAAUUAAAAAAUUUGGCGGUAAUUUAAUCUGUUUAGAGGAAUUUGUUUUUUAAUCGAUAAUCCACGAAAAAUCUUACUUAUUUUUGUUUAUAAAUAUAUAAUAAAUAGUUUGUAUACCAUCAUUAUAUAAUUUUUAAAAAAAAAAUUAUUAAAUAUAAAUAAUUAUCAAAAUUAGAUCAUGGUGCAGCUUAUAAAUAAGGUAAAAUGAAUUACAAUAAAUUAUUUUAUAACGGAAUAGUAAAGUAAAUUUUAUUAUAAAGGAGGAUUUAAUAGUAUUAUAAUUUUAAUAAGUUUAUAAGAAAAUAGCUCUAAAUUAUGUACAUAUCGCCCGUCGCUUUCGUUUAUAAAACGAAAUAAGUCGUCACAUA
rnacentral:rRNA from 1 species